rnacentral:rRNA from 1 species
UACAGAGGGGGCAAGCGUUAUUCGGAAUUAUUGGGCGUAAAGGGCGCGUAGGCGGCUUUGCAAGUGGCGGGUGAAAGCCCUCGGCUUAACCGAGGAACUGCCUGUCAGACUGUGAGGCUUGAGACCGGGAGAGGUGAGUGGAAUUCCCAGUGUAGCGGUGAAAUGCGUAGAUAUUGGGAGGAACACCAGUGGCGAAGGCGGCUCACUGGACCGGAACUGACGCUGAGGCGCGAAAGCGUGGGGAGCGAACAGG